rnacentral:rRNA from 1 species
CCUACGGGAGGCAGCAGUGAGGAAUAUUGGUCAAUGGGCGCGAGCCUGAACCAGCCAAGUCGCGUGAGGGAUGACGGCCCUAUGGGUUGUAAACCUCUUUUGUCGGGGAGCAAAGUACCCCACGUGUGGCGUUUCGAGAGUACCCGAAGAAAAAGCAUCGGCUAACUCCGUGCCAGCAGCCGCGGUAAUACGGAGGAUGCGAGCGUUAUCCGGAUUUAUUGGGUUUAAAGGGUGCGUAGGCGGAAGGUUAAGUCAGCGGUAAAAUUGCGGGGCUCAACCUCGUCGAGCCGUUGAAACUGGGUGUCUUGAGUGAGUGAGAAGUACGCGGAAUGCGUGGUGUAGCGGUGAAAUGCAUAGAUAUCACGCAGAACUCCGAUUGCGAAGGCAGCGUACCGGCGCUCAACUGACGCUGAUGCACGAAGGUGUGGGUAUCGAACAGGAUUAGAUACCCGUGUAGUC